rnacentral:rRNA from 1 species
GACGAACCACACAAGCGUUAUUCGGAAUUACUGGGCUUAAAGGGUGCGUAGGCGGCGCGGAAAGUUGGGUGUGAAAUCCCUCGGCUCAACCGAGGAACUGCGCCCAAAACUACCGUGCUCGAGGGAGAUAGAGGUGAGCGGAACUUAGGGUGGAGCGGUGAAAUGCGUUGAUAUCCUAAGGAACACCCGUGGCGAAAGCGGCUCACUGGGUCUUAUCUGACGCUGAGGCACGAAAGCUAGGGUAGCGAACGGG